rnacentral:rRNA from 1 species
AGAGGGUGCAAGCGUUAAUCGGAAUUACUGGGCGUAAAGCGCGCGUAGGCGGCUGAUUAAGUCGGGUGUGAAAGCCCCGGGCUCAACCUGGGAAUUGCAUCCGAUACUGAUUGGCUAGAGUAUGAGAGAGGGAGGUAGAAUUCCACGUGUAGCGGUGAAAUGCGUAGAUAUGUGGAGGAAUACCGGUGGCGAAGGCGGCCUCCUGGCUUAAUACUGACGCUGAGGUGCGAAACCGUGGGGAUCAAACAGGAUUAGAUACCCUGGUAGUCCACGCCGUAAACGAUGUCAACUAGCCGUUGGGCACCUUAGUGUGCUUGGUGGCGCAGUAACGCGAUAAGUUGACCGCCUGGGGAGUACGGUCGCAAGAUUA